CGACCGGCGCACGGGUGAGUAUCGCGUAUCCAACCUGCCCCUUACUUGGGGAUACCCCGUUGAAAGACGGCCUAAUACCCGAUGUGUUUCAUUGACGGCAUCCGAUAUGAAACAAAGGUUUUCCGGUAAGGGAUGGGGAUGCGUCUGAUUAGCUUGUUGGCGGGGCAACGGCCCACCAAGGCGACGAUCAGUAGGGGUUCUGAGAGGAAGGUCCCCCACAUUGGAACUGAGACACGGUCCAA
rnacentral:rRNA from 1 species